UACGGGGGGGAGCAAGCGUUGUUCGGAUUUACUGGGCGUAAAGGGCGCGUAGGCGGUCUGACAAGUCACUUGUGAAAUCUCCGGGCUUAACUCGGAACGGUCAAGUGAUACUGUCGGACUAGAGUACAGAAGGGGCAACUGGAAUUCUCGGUGUAGCGGUGAAAAUGCGUAGAUAUCGAGAGGAACACCUGCGGCGAAGGCGGGUUGCUGGGCUGAUACUGACUGAGGCGCGAAAGCCAGGGGGAGCGAAACGGGG
rnacentral:rRNA from 1 species